AACUUUACAACCUCUAUCCGCCUGGGGACUACAAGCAUUAGCUUGAAACCCAAAGGACUUGGCGGUGCUUUAGACCCACCUAGAGGAGCCUGUUCUAGAACCGAUAACCCCCGUUCAACCUCACCUCUCCUUGUUCCUCCCGCCUAUAUACCACCGUCGUCAGCUUACCCUGUGAAGGACCAAUAGUAAGCUUAACCGGCUCAGCCAAACGUCAGGUCGAGGUGUAGCGAAUGGAGGGGGAAGAAAUGGGCUACAUUCGCUAUAACAACGAAUACGGAUAUUGUACUGAAACGUACACUUGAAGGAGGAUUUAGCAGUAAGUAGAAAAUAGAGUGUUCUACUGAAAUUGGCCCUGAAGCGCGCACACAUCGCCCGUCACUCUCCCCAAGCAUAACAACUGAUUAACUAAAAACUAAUAAUUGCAAAGGGGAGACAAGUCGUAACAUAGUAAGUGUACCGGAAGUGCACUUGGCAAAG
rnacentral:rRNA from 1 species